UACGGAGGGUGCGAGCGUUGUCCGGAAUCACUGGGCGUAAAGGGCGCGUAGGCGGCCUGAUAAGUAGGGGGUGAAAUCCUGCGGCUUAACCGCAGGGCUGCCUUCUAAACUGUCAGGCUAGAGCACAGUAGAGGCAGGUGGAAUUCCCGGUGUAGCGGUGGAAUGCGUAGAGAUCGGGAAGAACAUCAGUGGCGAAGGCGGCCUGCUGGGCUGUUGCUGACGCUGAGGCGCGAAAGCUAGGGGAGCAAACAGG
rnacentral:rRNA from 1 species